UACGUAGGGUGCGAGCGUUAAUCGGAAUUACUGGGCGUAAAGCGUGCGCAGGCGGUUCGUUGUGUCUGAUGUGAAAGCCCCGGGCUCAACCUGGGAAUGGCAUUGGAAACUGGCGAGCUAGAGUGUGGCAGAGGGGGGUGGAAUUCCGCGUGUAGCAGUGAAAUGCGUAGAGAUGCGGAGGAACACCGAUGGCGAAGGCAGCCCCCCUGGGCUGACACUGACGCUCAGGCACGAAAGCGUGGGGAGCAAACAGG
rnacentral:rRNA from 1 species